rnacentral:rRNA from 1 species
UAGGGAAUCUUCCACAAUGGGCGAAAGCCUGAUCCAGCAAUGCCGCGUGUGUGAAGAAGGUCUUCGGAUUGUAAAGCACUUUCGACGGGGACGAUGAUGACGGUACCCGUAGAAGAAGCCCCGGCUAACUUCGUGCCNG